rnacentral:rRNA from 1 species
GACGAACGCUGGCGGCGUGCUUAACACAUGCAAGUCGGACGGAAAGGCCCUGCUUUUGUGGGGUGCUCGAGUGGCGAACGGGUGAGUAACACGUGAGUAACCUGCCCUUGACUUUGGGAUAACUUCAGGAAACUGGGGCUAAUACCGGAUAGGAGCUCCUGCUGCAUGGUGGGGGUUGGAAAGUUUCGGCGGUUGGGGAUGGACUCGCGGCUUAUCAGCUUGUUGGUGGGGUAGUGGCUUACCAAGGCUUUGACGGGUAGCCGGCCUGAGAGGGUGACCGGCCACAUUGGGACUGAGAUACGGCCCAGACUCCUACGGGAGGCAGCAGUGGGGAAUAUUGCACAAUGGGCGGAAGCCUGAUGCAGCAACGCCGCGUGCGGGAUGACGGCCUUCGGGUUGUAAACCGCUUUCGCCUGUGACGAAGCGUGAGUGACGGUAAUGGGGAAAGAAGCACCGGCUAACUACGU